rnacentral:rRNA from 1 species
UACGUAGGUGGCAAGCGUUGUCCGGAUUUACUGGGCGUAAAGAGCGCGCAGGCGGUCGUUCAAGUCGCGUGUGAAAGCCCCCCGGCUCAACCGUGGAGGGUCAUUGGAAACUGGGGGGACUUGAGUGCAGAAGAGGAAAGCGGAAUUCCACGUGUAGCGGUGAAAUGCGUAGAGAUGUGGAGGAACACCAGUGGCGAAGGCGGCUUUCUGGUCUGUAACUGACGCUGAGGCGCGAAAGCGUGGGGAGCAAACAGG